rnacentral:rRNA from 1 species
GAGUUUGAUCCUGGCUCAGAAUCAACGCUGGCGGCGCGCCUAACACAUGCAAGUCGAACGAGAAAGUGGGGCAACCCAUGAGUACAGUGGCGUACGGGUGAGUAACACGUGGAUGAUCUACCUCUUUGUGGGGAAUAACCGAGGGAAACCUUGGCUAAUACCGCAUAAGCCCGAGAGGGGAAAGCAGCAAUGCGCAGAGAGAGGAGUCCGCGGCCGAUUAGCUAGUUGGUGGGGUAAGAGCCCACCAAGGCAAAGAUCGGUAGCCGGCCUGAGAGGGCACACGGCCACACUGGCACUGAAACACGGGCCAGACUCCUACGGGAGGCAGCAGUGGGGAAUCUUGCACAAUGGGGGAAACCCUGAUGCAGCGACGCCGCGUGAGCGAUGAAGCCCUUCGGGGUGUAAAGCUCUUUCGUCAGGGAAGAUGAUGACGGUACCUGGAGAAGCAGCUGCGGCUAACUACGUGCCAGCAGCCGCGGUAAUACGUAGGCAGCAAGCGUUGUUCGGAGUUACUGGGCGUAAAGGGUGUGUAGGCGGUUGUUUAAGUUUGGUGUGAAAUCUCCCGGCUCAACUGGGAGGGUGCGCCGAAUACUGAAUGACUCGAGUGCGGGAGAGGAGAGUGGAAUUCCUGGUGUAGCGGUGAAAUGCGUAGAUAUCAGGAGGAACACCGGUGGUGUAGACGGCUCUCUGGACCGUAACUGACGCUGAGACACGAAAGCGUGGGUAGCAAACAGGAUUAGAUACCCUGGUAGUCCACGCCCCUAACGAUGCA